GCCAUUGAAUCUGCUCUCUCCAUUUUUCAACUCUUCCAUACCCAAACCCUAGCCGCUCCACCUCUCUCUCUCAUCUCCGUUCGUUACCUCGACAAAACACACUUCGCCUUCUGCAAAAGCUCGACAGUUUUCUCUCUCUCUCUGAGAAUUAAAAAAUGUGAGCUCGCUGAUCUCUCUGAGAAACCAUGGCUCCAUUCAUGCCGAAAAAUAAUCCACUGGCUGUCACUUUCCAGUAAUCUCUUUUGCUCUCGCCCAAGUCUAUAAGUUGAGCACCGUGGGUGAGCGUUUUCUUUCACCCACCUAAAAAAGACGCUCGCUUUUUCUGUUCGUUUCUUGGGAAAAUUCUACACACUCUGUUUUUCUCAACCCGCCAGCUGAAUUCACAAAUUCCAGUCGAAAAUGGCGCAGUUUCAGAACGACGAGCUGGAGAACGUCGUGGACGACCUACUUCGACAUCGCCGACUUCGAAGACACCGACGCUUUUGCCGGUAACCAGCUCCGGGGAAGCCACGGCGCCGACUCGGACUUUGACGACGACGAGGACUUCGCUGAGUUCGCUGCACUGUUACUUUUGUUGGUCGAAUUUUGGAUUUUUUUUUUUUGUUUUAGAAGAAAUCUUAAACAAUUUGGGGAUUUUUGCAGAGCAAGUCGAAGACUGAUACUUCGGCAACUGAGUUUCGACAGUGACUGAGAGUUCUCCAGCCAUGUCUCUGUUGCAAGGCAAAUGGAUCAAGGUGUACUAUAUUUCUUCGUCAAAUGUUUAUCCAAUCUUUGUGUGGUGCAUAUACAUUUAAUUUUUUAAUUUUAUUCUCACUUCUCCUUUGUAAUUUUGUUAAAUAAUGAAAAUUAGUGAAAUUUUUUCUAACCGUUAAAUUGGAUCCCUCAAAAUCAUCAAGUUUUUUCUAAAGUCCAAUUAUAUCAAAUCACAAAUUUGAAGCAGUUUCCCUUUUGCCAAUUUAUGAUGCUAAUUUGAUUUUUGUAGAGAACUAAACUUAAUUUCAACAAGUUUUAUAGAAAGGAGUAAUUUAUAAGUGUCGGACUUGAGUUCCUUUUGCACAUUGUGGUUAGAUCAGGUUGUAUUUACAUUGACCAUCUCUGCUUUAUUAUGAGCUUGCAUCUGUUGUGCUGCAAAUGAACAUUAGCAUACCACAACCACAAAAAUUAUGCUUUCACAAUUGAUAUAUAGAUCUUUGCACAAAAUUCUCAUAUUGAUGGUUCAUAGAUCUCUUUGUAAUGACUAUAUAUUAACCAUGUGUUCUGGAGAAGUUUGUCAAGGGCCGAUGGGACAAGGAGGAUUGGAUUUCAUAUUGGCAGAAAUACAAGGCCUCCCUUUCUUCCAUCUGGGAUGAAGAAAAGGGGAAGACGACAAGGAUCUAAGCAAGUUAAGAAUGAAGAAGAAGUUGAUCCGUCAAAACUUACAGAGGUACUUCCUAGUAGGUUUCCUGCAUCAGCAUUUCCCACAGUGAUGGAGGCAGUUGAAUCUUUACCUGAGGCAGAGCCCUCGAGUGAGUUGUGGUGGUUUGCCAAGGGCCUAUUUACAUCUGAUGAGAAGAGGGAGAGAUUCUGUGAGUGGGAAGAUAAUCGGGCCAAGCUUGAAUGGCUCCAUCGCGAAGUGGCCGAUUAAUAUGCGCUUAUAUUAUGUUUGACAAUGUCUAGAUCAUAGAUUUGAUAUGUUGAACUCUCAUAUAUUUGGGGGAUUAAUUCUACUAGUAUGUGAAUUCUGGGGAUCAUCUUUCUAGUAUACAGAAAGAUGCUUCAAUUUGAAAUGCUCCAUCGUUAAUUAUCAAGCUUAACAACGUUUGCUCUA